rnacentral:tRNA from 7 species
GCCGGUGUAGCUCAGUUGGCAGAGCGCCACUUUUGUAAAGUGGAUGUCGUCAGUUCGAGCCUGACCACCGGCUCCA